rnacentral:rRNA from 1 species
GUGCCAGCCGCCGCGGUAAUACGUAGGUGGCAAGCGUUGUCCGGAUUUAUUGGGUUUAAAGGGUGCGUAGGCGGUCAUGUAAGUCAGUGCUGAAAUAUCCCGGCUUAACCGGGAGGGUGGCAUUGAUACUGUAUGACUUGAGUAAAGUUGAGGUUGGCGGAAUUGACGGUGUAGCGGUGAAAUGCUUAGAUAUCGUCAAGAACACCUAUUGCGAAGGCAGCUAACUAAGCUUUAACUGACGCUGAGGCACGAAAGUGUGGGGAUCAAACAGGAUUAGAAACCCUGGUAGUCC